GUGUUUGUAGCUCAAUGGUAGAGCAUCAGCCUGUUAAGCUGUUGGUUGGAGGUUCGAGUCCUCCCUAACACGCCA
rnacentral:tRNA from 1 species